rnacentral:misc_RNA from 1 species
AAGUCGUAACAAGGUUUCCGUAGGUGAACCUGCGGAAGGAUCAUUAACACGUAUCCAAACGUUAAAACCCCCCCCGUGAACCUUCAUCCUGCUCUUGUAACCCGCCUAGUUCGCAAUCUCUGAUAAAUCAUAGCCCGGAAAGUUGCAGUGAUUCAGAGACCCCUGCCAAGCAGUCAGUGUCGGAAAGUGUCAUUGAUUGUGCAAGGCUAGCGCUUCUACGAUUCCUGUAGACCGUACACUCGGGCAGGAGCUUUGCCAAAGGGUCCCCAUGCCCCCUAAUAACCCCACAGUUUAAUGUGAAGCUCAAUGUAAUACAUUGGGUAAAAAAAUCGAACAACUGUUAACAAUGGAUAUCUUGGUUCUU